rnacentral:rRNA from 1 species
AGAGUUUGAUCCUGGCUCAGAUUGAACGCUGGCGGCGCGCUUAACACAUGCAAGUCGAACGAGAAAGGGACUUCGGUCCUGAGUAGAGUGGCGCACGGGUGAGUAACGCGUAGGUAAUCUACCUCUGCAUCUGGGAUAACACUUCGAAAGGGGUGCUAAUACCGGAUACACUUAUGGGUCGCAAGACCUAUAAGGAAAGGAGACCUCUCCUUGGAAGUUUCUAUGUAGAGAUGAGCCUGCGUCCCAUUAGCUAGUUGGCAGGGUAAUGGCCUACCAAGGCGACGAUGGGUAGCGGGUCUGAGAGGAUGAUCCGCCACACUGGAACUGAAACACGGACCAGACUCCUACGGGAGGCAGCAGUGAGGAAUAUUGGACAAUGGGCGCAAGCCUGAUCCAGCGACGCCGCGUGAGUGAUGAAGGCCUUUGGGUCGUAAAGCUCUGUCAGCAGGGAAGAACGGCCGUGUGGUUAAUACCCAUGCGGAUUGACGGUACCUGCAGAGGAAGCACCGGCUAACUCCGUGCCAG